rnacentral:rRNA from 1 species
UGACAGAGGGUGCGAGCGUUGUCCGGAAAUCACUGGGCGUAAAGGGCGCGUAGGCGGUCUCUUAAAGCGUGUGGUGAAAGCCCGGGGCUCAACUCCGGGUCGGCCGUGCGAACUGGGGGACUGGAGCGUAUCAGAGGCGGGCGGAAUUCCGGGUGUAGCGGUGGAAUGCGUAGAGAUCCGGAAGAACACCGGUGGCGAAGGCGGCCCGCUGGGAUACUUGCUGACGCUGAGGCGCCGACAGCGUGGGGAGCAAACAGG